UUAAGCAGCUUUCAGCUAUUUGAAGUAUGAGUCACUCCUUUCGGCAUAGAGGUGUAAAAAUUUUCAUUGUGAUCUCACCACCGCUGCCUCCUUAGAGGUGCAUAGGCCAGAGUGUAUGAUGUCAAAGUGGGACUGCCUUUAUGCUAUUUUCGUUUCUCCGAAUACAAGUAUGAAGAAAUUUCAUUCUCGUCUCACCACCGCUGCCUCCUUACAGCUGCAUAAGCCAGAGUAUUUGACGUGAGCCCUUCCUGUAAAAACGUGAGUUGGGGGAAGGAAGUUCUUGUGCACUAUGAGAAAAGCAGACGCACUCUUGACAAAGCCUGACCCCCGCAAAAGUACAAGUUACGCAAAAAAGUAUCGGAAGAAAUUGAAUAACGAAAGCAACAGCAUAUAUAAUUUUUGAAAUCCCUAAUAAAUACUCGUUCUCUCCUGUA